rnacentral:lncRNA from 1 species
GGGCUCGUCACAUGCCCCAAGGUUGCAGGGCGGAGCGCCGGCGCCUGGAAGGCUGGGGAGCCCCUGGUGCGCACCUGAGCGGGGAGCGGGGUGCAGCGCCCCCUCCUGGUCGGUGAGCGCCGGGCCGGGCACCUCCCGCGCGCCUGGCCAGGUGGCUUCGGAGCGCGGGGCUGGGCGCGCUCUCUCGACUCCCGGCCCCCGCGACCGCUCUGGGCAAGGGCGGCGGCGGCGACAGGCUCCGGGCGCGACGCUGCUCCGUGGUCAGGUCCGGUUGUGGGUGCCGACGGCCGGCCUGGGGUCACCGGACUAGGCUGCACUCGCCACGCGUAGGCGCUGGGGACCCGCUGGGGACUCGCCGAGGUGCGCUCGGGCGGACUCUGGGAGAGCAGCGCCCCCUCGCCCGGGCCGGCGGCCGCGGGGAGCUCGGGCCCGCCGCCCCUCCGCCUCAAGUCUGGGCGCUCCCAGCCCCAUUCAGCCGCUGCCUAUGGGGAUCCGAGAGUUUCCCGGCGGCGCGCCCAGGGGCAAGAGCAUCGCCAUUGGCAUGAGGAGGUCACCGGACGUCAGCCCCCGGAGACUGUCAGACAUCAGCCCCCAGCUCAGGCAGCUGAAGUACUUGGUGGUGGACGAGGCCAUCAAGGAGGACCUGAAAUGGUCGCGCUCGGUGGAAGACCUCACCAGCGGGCCCGUGGGGCUCACGUCCAUCGAAGAGCGGAUUCUGCGCAUCACUGGCUAUUAUGGCUACCAGCCCUGGGCAGCGAGCUACAAAAGUAAGCCCCCCUGCUCCACCGACGUCAUUUCCCUGCCCUCUGGUCCUGUCCCUGCCCCAGUCACAGUAGCUAGGUUAAGAAGCUCAAGCAGCGAGGUCCAGCACCCACUUGCGCCCUGCCGGCAGAUUGGCAACUUUGAACAAGAGGUCCAGAGAUAGUUCUCCCAGACCAUGCGGCCCCCAUCCCCGUUCUCUUAUGACCCUCCCACGCCCACGCAGUCCUCUGUGUCCUCAUCCCCUGCCUCUGGAGGUGUUGCAAUAUGGAGGGCACCCCUGGUGUGACUAACCUCGAGAACCAAACCGAUGCAGGGAAUCAAAGUGCCCCGGGCUGCUCAGCCUUUUUAGGGAUCUGGGAGUGUACUGGGCUCUGGGUCAGCUCAGCUGGCUAUUUGGAGGAUGCAAACUUGGACAGAUUUUAACUCUUCCGGAUGUCUCCUGAGCCGUGGUAACUUCACUUUGCAUCGGUGAGGAGGUUCUAUGUGGAUCUUUCUAGAUACUGGCACUGGUGGUGGCAAGGUGAGCGCUUGGAGUUACCAGACUUUCCUCUGGCAGUGGGGUUCAGCUGUUGGCUUGGUACUGCUGUGAUCAGUUAAUAGAUAUUACCUGUGCGGCCACUUUGGUGGUCGUUUGAUUAGGUUGGAAGAGAGAGGCGGGCUACAAGAAACUGUAUAUAACUAUAGUUAGGUGAUCCCAUUCCUAUAGUUGGACAGAGCCCAAGAGAUUGCUUUUCAGCCUUCAAGUAGUAUAAGCAAUGAACAUGACUCAUUUAUUUGUGAAUAAAAG